rnacentral:rRNA from 1 species
AGUGAACGCUGGCGGUAGGCCUAACACAUGCAAGUCGAACGGCAGCACAGUAAGAGCUUGCUCUUACGGGUGGCGAGUGGCGGACGGGUGAGGAAUACAUCGGAAUCUACUUUUUCGUGGGGGAUAACGUAGGGAACCUUACGCUAAUACCGCAUACGACCUACGGGUGAAAGCAGGGGAUCUUCGGACCUUGCGCGUUUGAAUGAGCCGAUGUCGGUUUAGCUAGUUGGCGGGGUAAAGGCCCACCAAGGCGACGAUCCGUAGCUGGUCUGAGAGGAUGAUCAGCCACACUGGAACUGAGACACGGUCCAGACUCCUACGGGAGGCAGCAGUGGGGAAUAUUGGACAAUGGGCGCAAGCCUGAUCCAGCCAUACCGCGUGGGUGAAGAAGGCCUUCGGGUUGUAAAGCCCUUUUGUUGGGAAAGAAAAGCAGCAGGUUAAUACCCCGCUGUUCUGACGGUACCCAAAGAAUAAGCACCGGCUAACUUCGUG